AAAGAUUUCUGGCUCCCAGGGGUCUUUUAUACAGGUAACGAGCUGAGAUUAGGAGCACACUCUUAAAGGGAGUGCUCCUAAUCUCAGUUUAUUACCUGUAUAAAAGACACCUGUCUACAGAAGCAAUCAAUCAGAUUCCAAACUCUCCACCAUGGCCAAGACCAAAGAGCUCUCCAAGGAUGUCAGGGACAAGAUUGUAGACCUACACAACCCCUUUGUUACGGCAACGAGAACCUGCAGUUGGAUGCGUCCGUUAAACAGGCUGGAAACAGGUGGCCAGGUGCAGCUCAGCGUGACACACCUGGAGAAGGAGUGAGAACAUCAGACGCUGGAAACAGGUGGCCAGGUGCAGCUCAGCGUGACACACCUGGAGAAGGAGUGAGAACAUCAGACGCUGGAA
rnacentral:lncRNA from 1 species